ACGCUGGCGGCAGGCCUAACACAUGCAAGUCGAGCGGUAGAGAGAAGCUUGCUUCUCUUGAGAGCGGCGGACGGGUGAGUAAUGCCUAGGAAUCUGCCUGGUAGUGGGGGAUAACGUUCGGAAACGGACGCUAAUACCGCAUACGUCCUACGGGAGAAAGCAGGGGACCUUCGGGCCUUGCGCUAUCAGAUGAGCCUAGGUCGGAUUAGCUAGUUGGUGAGGUAAUGGCUCACCAAGGCGACGAUCCGUAACUGGUCUGAGAGGAUGAUCAGUCACACUGGAACUGAGACACGGUCCAGACUCCUACGGGAGGCAGCAGUGGGGAAUAUUGGACAAUGGGCGAAAGCCUGAUCCAGCCAUGCCGCGUGUGUGAAGAAGGUCUUCGGAUUGUAAAGCACUUUAAGUUGGGAGGAAGGGCAUUAACCUAAUACGUUAGUGUUUUGACGUUACCGACAGAAUAAGCACCGGCUAACUCUGUGCCAGCAGCCGCGGUAAUACAGAGGGUGCAAGCGUUAAUCGGAAUUACUGGGCGUAAAGCGCGCGUAGGUGGUUAGUUAAGUUGGAUGUGAAAUCCCCGGGCUCAACCUGGGAACUGCAUUCAAAACUGACUGACUAGAGUAUGGUAGAGGGUGGUGGAAUUUCCUGUGUAGCGGUGAAAUGCGUAGAUAUAGGAAGGAACACCAGUGGCGAAGGCGACCACCUGGACUAAUACUGACACUGAGGUGCGAAAGCGUGGGGAGCAAAC
rnacentral:rRNA from 1 species